rnacentral:misc_RNA from 1 species
CUUUCUUGCCUAUCUCCGCGACCUCGUGACCGACCGCCGCGCUCACCCCGGUAACGCCGAACACGAUGUGCUGACGCGCCUGAUUCUGGGCGAGACCAGCGGCGAGAAGCUCAGCGAGAUCGAGCUGCUGCAAAACUGCAUUUUCAUCCUGAACGCGGGCCAUGAGACGACCACCAAUCUGAUCGGCAAUGGCCUCGNNNNUUCCGGACCAGCGGCAACGGCUGAUCGAUGAUCCCGCGCUGAUCAAGCCGGCGGUCGAGGA